AGCCUGAUGGAGCACACCGCGUGAGUGAAGAAGGGUUUCGGCUCGUAAAGCUCUGUUGUUGGAGAAGAACGUGCGUGAGAGUAACUGUUCACGCAGUGACGGUAUCCAACCAGAAAGUCACGGCUAACUACGUGCCAGCAGCCGCGGUAAUACGUAGGUGGCAAGCGUUAUCCGGAUUUAUUGGGCGUAAAGCGAGCGCAGGCGGUUGCUUAGGUCUGAUGUGAAAGCCUUCGGCUUAACCGAAGAAGGGCAUCGGAAACCGGGCGACUUGAGUGCAGAAGAGGACAGUGGAACUCCAUGUGUAGCGGUGGAAUGCGUAGAUAUAUGGAAGAACACCAGUGGCGAAGGCGGCUGUCUGGUCUGCAACUGACGCUGAGGCUCGAAAGCAUGGGUAGCGAACAGGAUUAGAUACCCUGGUAGUCCAUGCCGUAAACGAUGAGUGCUAGGUGUUGGAGGGUUUCCGCCCUUCAGUGCCGGAGCUAACGCAUUAAGCACUCCGCCUGGGGAGUACGACCGCAAGGUUGAAACUCAAA
rnacentral:rRNA from 2 species